UACGGAGGGUGCAAGCGUUAUCCGGAUUUACUGGGUUUAAAGGGUGCGCAGGCGGAUAUGUAAGUCAGUGGUGAAAUCUCUGGGCUUAACCCGGAAAUUGCCAUUGAUACUAUAUAUCUUGAAUGCUGUGGAGGUAAGCGGAAUAUGUCAUGUAGCGGAUGAAAUGCUUAGAUAUGACAUAGAACACCUAUUGCGAAGGCAGCUUACUACGCAGAUAUUGACGCUCAUGCACGAAAGCGUGGGGAUCAAACAGGA
rnacentral:rRNA from 1 species